ensembl:lncRNA
GUGCCACCUCUACCUUCGCUUUGUCCCACCCCGGGCUGCAGCCACCCGCAGCAGGGGCAUGGGGAGAAGGGGUCACCCAGAGGCACCUCUGUCCUGCAGCCCCCCAUGGCUGGGACGUCCCCACUGAGGUCACCUCAAUCUGAGAUCCUCCAAAGGACACCUCUUUCUCCAGCCCCUCCAGCCCUGUUAGUUGUGCGCUGAUGUCUGGAUUGAAGAUACGGGCUUCACCCCACCGAGGCAGAAAACACUGAUGGAAAGAGAGUGAAUAAAGCCUGCCAUCCAGCUGAGGUCCUCAUUGCAAAGAGGCAUGAAUAAUAACCGGCCACAUUUCAUUCCUGUUCUUCUUUGGAUUUUAAUUGCGUGAGAUGAGAGGGGAGAAAAAUGGUAGCAAGCAGAGGAAGCCCGAGAAGGAGAGAGAGGAGGAAUCAUCACUAUUGCAUUUCGUCAGCGAUAAGAAUGGCUGCUGAGCUGGAGUGAGUGGUUUCCAAGUGCAGCGGGAGCCAGCUUCAAUUUCACAGCAUAAUCUUUCCUGUGGCCUUAAAAUAACUUCUCCCUGCCCCCAGGGUAUCACAGGAGCUGCAGAGCCGUGCAUGCUCCUUCCCUGCACGGCUCCGCGUUCAGCGCUUGCCUUAUCUGUGGCUGGGGGCUGUUUGGAGAGCGCUGGCAUCGCAUGUGUCACACGGAGGCGCAGAGCCCUGGAACAGAAAGGGGACAUUUUUCAGACCCGUGGUCUCCCCAGGAGGGCAGCAGGCUGGGCAGAGCUGACUGUUUGAGCUCCUCUUUGGUGCCAGCAAAAGAGCAGCUUCCCCGAAGUGCUCCGCAGAGACGGGACCUCUUUAUUGUCGGGGCUAAUUGCUCAUGUGAGAUGUACUUACAGAGGCGGCUGUUUGUGCAGAGAGGGAUAGACAAACAGACUCCUGUUCUGCCAGGCACCCUUUGUAAUCAGAGGGGGCUGGGAGUACUUUAGUGCAGUCAUGGCAGACCUCAUUUGCACCGCCAGCACCGAUCCUGCACUGGCUUGGAUGAUGGUUGGGGGUGCUGAGCUCCAUCCCAUUGCUCAGCUCAUGAGUGACAGUUCAGAGCAAUUCCCCCUCCCUGGAUGUAUUCAGGGCCAGCUUGGAUGGGGCCCUGAGCAGCCUGAUGUGGUGGGAGGCAGUCCUGCCCAGGACAAGGGGCUGGAACUGGGUAGGCUUUAAGGCCCCUUUUCAACCGAAGCCAUUCUGUGAUUCUAUGGUUCCCUGCACUCAGCCCACUGCUUGCUCUUGUACAUCUUUGCCCAGCAACCUCGCCGUGCCCAUGACUUGCAAAUCUAACACUGGGUAAAAGCAUCCAGGACUCUGAAAAACAGACCCGCGGACGUUCUUCAGCUUCACAUCUGCUGCCUAUGGUAUAUUUUUUUUAAUCAGGUGGAGGCCUAGGGGGAAUUUUGCCACGUGUGAGGGAGAUCCAGCAUUAGGAAAGUAAUGCAAGCAAUUUCCGGCACUGUCUCCAUCCCCUCGCACAGCCAGUGGGGAUGGUUUCCAAUGAUGUGCCUGCAGGUAGCCCACAGCCCGUCCACACCAAAUGGACAUCCCUCUCCCUGUGUGAAGAUAUACCUCCUGUUUCCCACCUUCUGUGCUUUUCUCUGCCCUGUGACAGGCGGUGGGCUGGGAUACGCUCAGUGAAGAGCUCAGCAGUAAGAAAAAGCAGCAUCAAGUACAGCGAGCUGUAGCAAAACUGAUAUGUCAACCCUGAUACACUGCUCCUUUUGUUCUUCCAGGAAGAGCCAUUAUUCCUCAGUUGGAAGAAUAGAGAGACCUACCUAAUUCUGAGCACUCCCAAGCCAUGAAUGUUUCAGGGCAUUUACAUGUCAGCUCCCACAAGACAUUUGAUGUAGAGGGAAGCGUUCCUUUUCCCAGAUGAGCACCGCUUUAUUACUUGCCGGGCAAAGAAGCCAACUGAAAAGCCAACACGCAAGUCAGCUAUACGUGGAAGAUUGUGUGUGAGCUGCUAUCAAAUAUUGCAUUUUGUACGAAUCUGGUCACAAAAACUGCAGGAGGGAAAAAAAUAAGAAAAUAAACCUUCAGGACAGCUAUUCCAAGGCAGCUCUUAGCCAUACUGAGCCACCUUGGGGACUGCAGCGUCGCUCUUCAGGGCUGGCAGGAUCUAGAAGAGCCCUUGGGUAGACUGGAGCUUCUAAGACAUCCUUACUGUCCUGUAAUUUCCCUUCCUACCACAUCUACAUGUCAAGCAUCAGCUCUUGUAAAACAUCUUGUAUUCAUGUCAUGCUAGCACUUGCAAGCCUGUUGCCCUCAAAAGGACCAUCCUUUCGCUAUGAUGUAUAAUAUAACGUCUAGCACAGGUGAGUCCUACAGCCUGCCGGCCUGGAUAUUGUCAAAGAAAUAAUGGCUGCAAAGCGUUUUUCAGAGGGUUUAGGAGCAGAAGGGGAAUUACAGGACAACCACUGGAAAAACCACUGCUCCUAAGUUGACGCAUCUCCGCUUUUCAGAGAUGGAUGGAGACGUCUCUACACAGAGGUGCUGAUGGAGAGAAGUCCCAGCAGGGAAGAAUAUGAAAUAGUGGGUCUGCCAGAGGGAUUCCUGGGCUUUUCAGUGGCUGGAGGGAAAAGGGGGAAAAAAAAUAUAAAGACAGUAGCUGUAAUGUUUGUAAUAUCAAUUUGACAACUGAUAAAAACUAUAAAAUAAUAAUCAUAAGUGAGAUAGACACGGAUGCCCCGUGGCAUUGCAAAGUAUGAUAGGAAAGAUUAAUAAAAUAGACGUCAGCUUCUUGAAUUGCUAUUGCAGCAUUAAUUCCCCCCGUGCCAGUUGCUGUAUGCCUUCCUUGAUACGAUCAGGAGGAAAACAUCUAAUCUGACGUGACAACCUCAUUGUAUUAGGAGUCAUCUCUGCUUUAAAACACGUGUCAUAUGACCGAACGCCCCGCUCAGGGUACAAUGCACCCCUCAGUAAAAUCGGGCAGAGCUCAUCCUUAAAUGCCCUGCCAAAAAUAUUCCCAACAAAGGCCAACAAGAAAACAUAAUUCAAAUGAGGGACAUCUGCUCCCUAAUGUUUGCAGAUAAUGACUGGAUCGAGCGGCCGCAUAAAGGAGAAUUAUUUUCUGCAGAUGGUUUGAUCUGAUACUUCAAACUGUGUGCGAGAUCUUUGUCCCAGCCGCCCUGCAAAGUGUGUGGGGUUUUGCCGGCGUGAGACUUCUCCCCCAUCCUCUGGUUUCGUAAAUGCAAAGGUGACUGAAAGUGUGGAAGUUGCAGAAGGCAAAAUAGAGCAUGUAUGUGUCGUGCAGGUUUCAGAGGGGAGCCCACUAAUGGUGGACCCUCAACCAGCCUCCAGAAGCCGGUAUAGCUCCCCUCAGGACGCUCCAUAGCUCCCCUCAGGACGCCGCUGGUCCCGAGCAAGGAGGAUCUUGCAAGGAGCCCAAGGAUGCAGCUGUCGGCCAUCGUAGGAGCAGGUUUUAAUUACCUCGUGUCCUACGUGCGUCAUCACCCCCACAUCUGUGAAUAGCUCCACCAAAGACCGGGGCAAUCGAGAAGGAGGUCAUACUUCUGCUUUAGUAUACGCCGACAAACGACUGUGGCUCUGGGAACAACACACUGAGACGUUUGGAAUGGAAGGGAUUCCUCCUCUCGAUCAGCGCCACUGACAGCCCA